rnacentral:rRNA from 1 species
AGAGUUUGAUCAUGGCUCAGAACAAACGCUGGCGGCGUGCCUAAUACAUGCAAGUCGAACGGGAAAGUCUUCGGAUGAGUAUAGUGGCGCACGGGUGAGUAACGCGUAGAUAAUCUGCCCUUUAGUGGGGAAUAACUCAGCGAAAGCUGGGCUAAUACCGCAUAAGACCACAGUGGCUUUGGCUACAGAGGUUAAAGGAGUAAUUCGCUAAAGGAUGAGUCUGCGUUGGAUUAGCUAGUUGGUGAGGUAAAAGCUUACCAAGGCGAUGAUCCAUAGCUGGUCUGAGAGGAUGAUCAGCCACACUGGAACUGAGACACGGUCCAGACUCCUACGGGAGGCAGCAGUAGGGAAUAUUGCACAAUGGGGGAAACCCUGAUGCAGCAACGCCGCGUGAGUGACGAAGGCCUUCGGGUCGUAAAGCUCUGUUGUAUGGGAAGAAACAAAUGACGGUACCAUACGAGAAAGGACCGGCCAACUUCGUGCCAGCAGCCGCGGUAAUACGAGGGGUCCUAGCGUUGUUCGGAAUCACUGGGCGUAAAGCGCAUGUAGGCGGCUUUGUAAGUCGGGUGUGAAAGCCCUGGGCUCAACCCAGGAAGUGCACUCGAUACUGCAGAGCUUGAAUAUGAAAGAGGGUAGUGGAAUUCCAGGUGUAGUGGUGAAAUACGUAGAUAUCUGGAGGAACUCCGGUGGCGAAGGCGGCUACCUGGUUCAAUAUUGACGCUGAGAUGCGAAAGCGUGGGGAUCAAACAGGAUUAGAUACCCUAGUAGUCC